CAAUAGCGUAUAUUAAAGUUGUUGCAGUUAAAAAGCUCGUAGUUGAACCUCUGUCCAAAUGUUUCCCUCUUGUUUGGUGUAGACAAUAUUGGACAUCCCCACUGAAAAACUAGCACGCACUUUAUUUGGGCGGUUAGGGUUUCUUGGAAUUUACUUUGAAAAAUUAGAGUGUUUCAAGCAGGCGAUUUGCUGGAAUACAUUAGCAUGGAAUAAUAGAAGAUGACCUUUGAGUGCAUUAUAUUGGUAAAAUGACGGAAGGUAAUGAUUAACAGGGACAGUUGGGGGCAUUAGUAUUUAUUUGUCAGAGGUGAAAUUCAUUGAUUAAUUAAAGACUAACUUAUGCGAAAGCAUUUGCCAAGGAUGUUUUCAUUAAUCAAGAACGAAAGUUAGGGGAUCAAAGACGAUCAGAUACCGU
rnacentral:rRNA from 1 species